CUUUGUUCCGCGCUUAGAGCUAACCUCCUUUGUUCCUAAAAAAAUCAAACCUCCCCGUACCCACACCUCCAUCAAUACCUCGUCCACCCAAACCACUCAGCCAAAUUUCUAUCCGCUAUCUCCUCUCCCCGAUUACCCUCUCUCUCACCUAACUUCCAUGGCGAGCCGCCGCCACCAGAUCUGGCGAUGUCCCGCACCUUCGCUCAUAGGCCAGUCUCUCCCUCGGUGCUCUCCUGCUAUACUCCUCCAUGGCAAUGUCUUCCAUGCCACUGCUCGCGUCCCUGCAGUAACCCUAGUUGACACGGAUCACCAGCGUAGCUCGCUCACCUCUGUUUUGGAGGCCACUACCCCGCGUUGCUGCUGCCGGCUCAGGCAUGGAUCUGAAACAAGUUGUGAUGUAGUUUGCUUCUCCCUUCUCUCAGUGGUAGCCGACAGUGGAGACGGGCCGAGGUCAGAGGAGCAUGGGGUGGAGCUCCGGUGAUGCUCCAGAACUGCCAAUUGGAUCCCGUGCACGUCGGUGGUUCUUCCGGCUCGCAAAGCCUUCAACGGUGAUGGUGCUCUUUUUGGCGUUUUAUUUUGGUGCCCCGCAUCGUCUUGCUCUGGUGGCCCUGCGUGCGUUUACCUGCAGAUGCGUGUGUGCUUGGCUCAUGUGUCUGUGUCUAUGUGGUCUGUGCGUGCUGAUGGAAAGUACAGCUCUUGGGGACACUGAUUGUUUGCUAUUGUCGCUGAUUGCUAUUGCCACCGCUGCUGAUUUUGCUGCUCCUUAGUACCUACUCCGCUGACGCUGACACUGAUUGUUUGCCACCGCUGCUGAUUGCUAUUGCUGCUGCCACUGAAAGCUAUUGCCGAUGCUGCUGAUUUUGCUGCUCCUUAUAGUACCAAUACAGUAGAUAGAAGAUAAUAUGCAUUCCGAAAUAAUAAAUUUAGAAGAUAAAAUACAUUCCCAAAUAAAAAUGAAGAAGAUAUGUAUGUUUUACAAUGCGUACAAUAAUAAUCAUGGAACCUUCUAGCUCCUUACUGGUUCCAUGGUCCCUUUUACUUACAGUUGUUUGUAUUAUUUGUUCCACCUGUAUCUCAUCAUAUGUUUAUUUCCCUUGCAUAUUUUGUGCCUGCAAGCUGUCAGCUAACAAUCUUUUAGUCUCUAAACACUUGCAGUAAUCAUGAUGUUGGUAUGCAACUGUCCUACAAGUCAGGUUUCAAACUGUUGAUAAUAGAUGCACAAAUAUAUAAGAUUGUGUUGAAAUCUUUAACUUGCCUUCGAUGAUCGCAUAAGGGAUUAACUUGCUUUAAUGGUGUGUAGCUUCAGGGGCAGAUGGAAAUAUAGAGCUUACGACAUCAUCGCAGAAGGUGGGGCAACCCAUUUGCUUACUUGAUAAACCAUCCCCUGGUUCAGGCCACUAAGGCCCAUAUUUUGUAGGUUCAUAUAGGUAUUGAUAUUUAGUUAUUCGAUGACAUGGUAAAUGAUACAUGAUUAUGGAGCUGAGUUGUGACAAAGAUCAGAUUCUCUUGGUUAUAUGAUAUGCCACAUUGUCAGCAAAGGCAAGUGGGUAGCGUUUCUUCAAACUGGGUUGAUAAUUUCAAUGCUAGAUGAUUACUUGGAUCUUGGAGAAUUUAUGAUGAUUCAUGAUACUUGGAGGAGAAACAACACAAUUCUUUGAAUGUUAGAUUGUUUUUAUUUUUCUAUAAGGAAGUGAUGUACUCCUAAAUGAUGAUACUUGCAUUGUAAUGUACUAGAUUGUUCUAUUGAAUCAAUAUAUCACUUUCAUUUCGACUCUA